CAUAUUUUUGAAAAAAAAGCUAUUCCCCCGAUUUUCAUUUUCCCUCCCUAUUUUUCUAUAGAUCCGCUAAAACUUUAGAAAAUAUAUAAUAAAAAUUAAAAAAAAUAUACAAAAAUAUGGUUUUCACUCUUAUGAACUCGAUCACUCUCAUCAGUCUACAAACCCCAGUACUGCCACUACGUCGACUAUCCACCGCUCUCCAACUGCCGCUCUGACUUGCCCACUGCUGCUCCGACCGUGGAUCCGACCGCUUCUCCGACCACUACUCCGAUUUACAACAACCGACAGAUCUAGUUGUUGAAUCCUCUUAGUAAGCUUGCUCUUCAUAUGAAUCCAUUUAUUUUAUAUUGUAAUGAAGUCAAGAUCUAGAAAUUUGUUCUGUUUUUCAUCAAUUUUAAGUAUUCAGCACAAUCUAUUCUGAUUACUAUGAAUUUCUUUAUAAAUAUCGAAUGAAGAAAUGCGUCAUUCUUUCUUUGUUCGAAUGUUGUAUGCAUCAUUCUUUCUUUAAUAAUGUUGGGUUAAUUUAUUAAUUUGUUCGUUCAUUUUUCAUGUGUAAAGAUUUAAUCUUUUUGACAUUUGGUAUCACUAAUUUGUUGAUCUCUGUAAACUGUUUGUUACUCUGUAAACUGUUUGUUACUGGAUUUAGUAUAUGUUGAUUAUCUAAUUGUCACUGGAUUUGGUGUAUUCUGGAUUAUCCAAUUGAUACUCAAGACUCUAAAGAUAAGCAUAUCUGGUAAUGUUGAAGAUGUGUUCAUUUUACUAUUUGUUAGGUAACUGGAGUAUGCUUCUCCUGAAAUUUUUGUUUAUGUAGGAAUUGAUUUUUAGUGGAUUUAGUAUCCUAAUUGUAUUUUGCAAAAGAUGGAAUAUUUGUAGAAUGCCACUUAGUGAGAACCCUUCACGGUAAGGAAUUACCCAGUUAUCAUGCAAGUAUUUCCAUGUAAUGCAGCGUAGCUGUAGGAGUUCUUUUGCAUAGUUACUGCCGUAUGGGUUAUGAUACCUUGAUGAAUGUCUGAACAAUGCUUGGACAGGAUAUGGAAGUGGAUCCUGAAGGUUCCUUUCUACCAUAUGUGGCAGUAUCACUACGAACAAUUUGUAUGACCUCACAAACAUAUGAAAACUCUAUAUCAGAAGGAAAAAGCAGUGCAUAGACUCAUUUAUACAAGGAGUACUUAUAAUUUCCUGUAUUUGUAUACUAGUAAGAGUUUGGAAUGUUCUUUGAUAACUAUUGCUCUAUUUCCUGCAUUUAUGGCUGAUGGGAAAAGAACUAGAGUAUUUACACAUGUAAUGUACUAGUUUUCAAGAUGUAAGGAAUUUCCUUUGACUCUUACAUGUAAAUACUACCUAUAGGAGGCUGCAACAUAGUACUAUGCAUUUAGUGGUAUGGUACAUUAGGGGAUGAGGUGUAGAACCUUACGAACAUGAGAAUGGAAUUUUGCAUCAUGGGGCAUAAGGUAUCACCGAGGGUAAUAAAACCUUUCUAUACAAGGUAUCUGUGCUUACCCUUUAUUAUUUCCUUAUUUACUGAUCCUCUUGUAGUCUUAUUCAUCUCAAUGUAUUAACAGCACAUUUAGUUUCGUUUAUAGUAUCUGGUUAUUGAAGUCUGAAUUUUGACCCAAAUCUGAUCGUGCUCAGAGAUUGUUUGGAAGAAGCAAUUUCGAUAAGUCAUCUCAUCGGCUGAUUGAUUCUGAUGGUCUUCCAUAUGUGGGGUAGGUAAUAGGAUGUCUAUUCUCUUCUCUAUUUUUUGGUGAGUCAACUUGCACCUGAACCAACAUGAUCAUUUGAUUGCAAAGAAUUAAUCCUAAUGAUCAUAUUGUAGCAUUUACAAUGAAAUAACCAGUCAGACAAUUAGUAUGAAGUUAAAGGGUUCGGAGCUAGUUGUUGUUUAUUAUGUUUCUAUCGAUGUGUAAAAUAAAACACAUCUGCAGAAGGUGAGCAAUUCCUAGAUAUAUUUGACUUUGAGAAGAUAAAUCUUUGUUGUUGCUUUUCUGGAUUUCUAGUCCACUUUGCAAUUGUUAUCUCUUUUGUUAGCAUAUAUAAGUUGCUGUUAUUCUGUUAUCUUUUGCUUUCUAUUUUUCUUGAAUUUCGAUAUAUAAGUUGGUGUAAUUCUUUGAUAUUUUGCUUUCUAUUUUGCUUGAAUUUCAAUAAAUACGUUCCCAGUGAGCUUUUUACCAUCUAAUGCUUUAUUAUCAUAGUCGUUGCAGCCCAAAACUAACUGUUUCUUGGUUUCUGAUGGAAGUGUACUGAUCGUACUAGUCCAUCCUGCCUUGGAAAGGGUAAAAAAAGAAGAUACGGAUUAGAGCAAUCUUCUCCACAAGAGAGAAGGUAUCACCAUAGUCGAGACAAAGAAUAUAUGUAGCCUUUGGCAACCAGUCUGCUCUAUCAAUCUAUCCAUCAGGACCAACCUUCAUAGUAUAUACCCAUCGACAACAAAUUGUAGAUCUACCUAGAGGAAGAGGAACAAGUUCCCAAGUACCACUAGAGUGUAAGACAAAAGUCUCCUCAAUCAUAGCUUAUCAAUUACCAGGAUGAGAAAGAGCUUAUUCUGUAGUCUUAGAAAUAGAAACAGAUGAUAGUGAUGAUACAAAAGCAUAACGUGCUGGUAACAAAUGAUGAUAGCUUAGACAAGUAUAUAUAGGAUUAGGAUAACGAGUAGAACGAAUACCUUUCUGAGUGGUAAUGGGAGAACUCUCUUUAGACAAGUCUGCAGCCACAAGUUUAUAACCUGCAAGAAUCUGGUGUUGGGCGUUAAUUGUCCGGAACAGAUGAAAAGUGUUGAUGACGGUGAUAAGUCAAAAAUGUCCUAAGACAUCACAGAGGGAAAUGAUGAAUUGUUGUAGCCUCUAGUGCUUUAUUUGUUUUUUUUUCCUGAAUAUAGUUUAUUCUCUUGUAAGUCAUAAACUUUUACUUUAUUCCUAAUGUGGUCUUUCUUUCCAUAUGAGAUUCAUUAUUUUUUCCAGGGAGAGGCUGUUGUUCUGGUGGAUAAGGAGGAUGCUGAUGCAAUUAAAGCAGCAGAGAGAGUGGACCAAACGGUUGGACUGUAAUAUAUUAGUAAAUUGGCAUUUUCUCAUAGUGACAUGCAAGCAUCUGAUCUGAGUACUACUGAGCAGUUGUUAAAUAUAUUAUAUUCCUCUUUUUCCUGCAGAAAGGAAACCAAAAUAUACUAUCCUUCACGGUAUGAAAUUAAUCACAACUUUACUGAUCCAAUUGGCUUACUUGUGACCUUGAGGGUACCAUCUCUUUGCUUAUGAUUUGUUUAUUGUUUUGGGAUUGACAUAGGGUUGAUCCCAAAUCAGUUGAAAUUUGCUAUUCCGACAUGGAAUCUAUUGCACCUGAAGCGUACUUGUCAUCGACUAUAAUGAAUAUCUACAUCCAGAGAGUUAACAAAAUAUUUUGUCUAAUUGUUACAUUGUUGAUUAAUGAAUAGACAGGUUAAACAUCUAUUAGGAAUAGGUUGCUUUGAGUUGUUUUGCUUACCGUUCAAGUAAAGGAAUGGAGACUGUUGCGAUGCCUUAAGUCUUUAAAUAUCUAGCGGCUGAACUGGCAGCCAUGAACAUCAAGAUGACUCUCAAACUAAGUAAUGGGGCUGGAGCUUGAUACGUGUUUUUGGCAGUUGAAAUAUUCUAAUGUCUAGAAGCAAGCGGGAUUUUGGUGCUUAUUUCAUCUGUAAAUGUAUCUUCUAAUGUGCAAUACAUCCAAAAAGGGGUUUGCUGCUAAGAUAACUUGAUUCUGGCAAUGAUUGAUUUGGUUUAGACUUUUAGACAUCAGAAGGCCAGUUUCCUAGUGGGCUACCUAGAAAGAAAGUGCGCUGCAAAUGCUACAUGCUUCUGGCCAUCUCAUAGUGCAAGAGUCAAAAUAUAGAGAUGUCUCAUCAGUAAGAAUUCCGAGUUAUGCAGGUCUAAUGAUAUGACGGAGGUGACAGGAACCCUUGGCUAUAUGGCUCCUGAGAAACAAGAAUUGUAAAGAUUAAGGGGUAUAGUCUACAUAACCAGAGUCAAUUAAUGCAAAUUGCGCCGCACGAGAAGUACUAGGAAAUUCCUUUAUGUUUGGAGUAUACGAAGCAUUAAAGCAGUAUUUUGCAGGAGGCAUGGGUACUUCUGGUGCUGUUGUUAAGUGGAGAAGGUUACGAGAAGGUCCAAGACUUGCUGCUUUGGGAUUUAGAUUACUAGCUUGUUGUAAAGAUUUGUUUUGUGAUGUGAUUAUCUAUGUAAAUACUAAUUUAUAUAGUUGCAUAAAAUUUUAAUUUGGAUUAUUAUAUUAAUGAAA